AAAUGGAUCACCCGGUAUUAUGGAAAUAUUCUUCAUUUUUUUCUUCUUCUAUAGCUUAAUAGUCCUAUUGUAGGACCUGAGCUGCAAUCAAACAUUUCCAUCGCACCCUGUCAAAUGCAAGUUCCACUGAAGCAUUUUUAUCCACCGUCCUUUUCUACUGCAUCUUUCCAUCUCGUUUGUGGCCUACUUAGUGGUCUAGUCUUAUAAAUGGUUUCGUUAAGGACUAUUUUUAUUAAAUCGUUUUCGCCCCUUCACACGUAUCCAAAACAAUAUAAUCGCCUUAGAUACAUCAUAUUUGGUUUGUUUUCCAUACAGAUUCUAUAAGUCUUAAUUUUAGAUUCUGAGUGGAGUGAAGAAGGUUAUGGUUUUACAAUGAUGUUUAUUUAUUUACUUACUUUAAACGGGAACAAUUUUUCUAGCAGAAAUCCGGAUACUUUAGGAAAGUCGUUUAUUUGAUUUUCUUA